GUAUUAUAUUGCGUUAAACGCGGCAUGCAUUCCAUGAGACUUUGUUACAGUGUGUGUGUAAAGAUGCAGAACCACAGCAGGAGGACAGGCCCCCUGACCAUAGAACUACAGAGGGUGCACAAGGGUGUGAGUGGAUGUGUGAACAGAGCGUGCACAUGCCCCCGUUUGAGGACCAGCAACAACUCUUGUUGACAAUUCAGUAAUGAUCCUUCCGCAGGUUCACCUACGGAAA
rnacentral:misc_RNA from 1 species